AUAAAAGCAACGAUGAGAUUUACUGCCCUGCGAUGGCUGUUAUUGAGGAUGUGAUAACAGAAAGCAUACAGCAGGACAUGUUCCUGGCGCCAAAGCAGAAACUAUUAAAAAGAUCAGUCAAUCGGUACAGGUCCAAGCAGAGGCCAGCAGAACCAAAGGAGUUGGUUUUCAUGGUGAAUGCAGAGUAUCUUCACUGUGAAGAUUUUUUUCUAGCAGACAUCCGUGUGAACGAUUUCUAACACUUUGUGUUUGCUACUCCAUUCCAACUAAAUAUUAUGCAACAAGCAAAAUGAUGGUUCAUGGAUGGAACCUUUAAGGUUGGCACAACAGACUGAAUACAAGGGCAGGUCAGGCAGGUCUAGGUUUCUACCAACUGGCUACCUUGUUGAGAAAAGAAUCAGAGUUGGUACAACUCAACGUCUCCUCUGAAGACCUGGAGCGAGAAACGCAUUCCAGAUAUACAAAACUGGAACAGAAGCCGAGAGAAGCUUGGGAUGGUUAUAUGGAGAAAGAC